rnacentral:rRNA from 1 species
GCAUGCGGGUGGUUCAUUAAGUCAGAUGUGAAAGCCCGGGGCUCAACCUCGGAACUGCAUUUGAAACUGGUGAACUAGAGUACUGUAGAGGGGGGUAGAAUUUCAGGUGUAGCGGUGAAAUGCGUAGAGAUCUGAAGGAAUACCAGUGGCGAAGGCGGCCCCCUGGACAGAUACUGACACUCAGAUGCGAAAGCGUGGGGAGCAAACGGGAUUAGAUACCCUGGUAGUCCACGCCGUAAACGAUGUCUACUUGGAGGUUGUGGCCUUGAGCCGUGGCUUUCGGAGCUAACGCGUUAAGUAGACCGCCUGGGGAGUACGGUCGCAAGAUUAAAACUCAAAUGAAUUGACGGGGGCCCGCACAAGCGGUGGAGCAUGUGGUUUAAUUCGAUGCAACGCGAAGAACCUUACCUACUCUUGACAUCCAGAGAAGCCAGCGGAGACGCAGGUGUGCCUUCGGGAGCUCUGAGACAGGUGCUGCAUGGCUGUCGUCAGCUCGUGUUGUGAAAUGUUGGGUUAAGUCCCGCAACGAGCGCAACCCUUAUCCUUGUUUGCCAGCGAGUAAUGUCGGGAACUCCAGGGAGACUGCCGGUGAUA